rnacentral:rRNA from 1 species
CCUACGGGUGGCAGCAGUGGGGGAUAUUGCACAAUGGAGGAAACUCUGAUGCAGCGACGCCGCGUGAGGGAAGACGGUCUUCGGAUUGUAAACCUCUGUCUUUGGGGAAGAAAAUGACGGUACCCAAAGAGGAAGCUCCGGCUAACUACGUGCCAGCAGCCGCGGUAAUACGUAGGGAGCGAGCGUUGUCCGGAAUUACUGGGUGUAAAGGGAGCGUAGGCGGGGGGGAAAGUUGAAGUGUAACUCUCUCGGCUUAACUGGGAGCUGCGUUCAAAACUUCUUGUCGUGAGUGGAGUAGAGGCGGGUGGAAUUCCUGGUGUAGCGGUGAAAUGCGUAGAUAUUAGGAGGAACACCAGUGGCGAAGGCGGCCUGCUGGGCUUUAACUGACGCUGAGGCUCGAAAGCGUGGGGAGCAAACAGGAUUAGAUACCCGGGUAGUC